rnacentral:lncRNA from 1 species
CUAAAAAGCUGUUAAUGUCACGUUGAAAGCACAUCUUUCAGCUCAACUGCAAACAAAACCGACACAGUCUGAUAAAACUGAGUGUCACGCGACUCACCUAAUAAGUGAUGUCUUGUUGGCUGUAAACUGGUCCGGCUGAAGCAGAGCUCUGGGACGUGUGGACAGACAUUGACUGUAAUGAUGGACAUCUGCUCAGGGACAGCUUUAUUUUUUUCAGUCUGUGCAAAGGUAUAACCACUGCGGGUCACGGUGCUGGAAGCUCCAGGGGGAGACCGUACUGAUAUCCCCCUUCUUCAGGCACGCCUUCACACACUCCACCAUUCACUCAUAUCGCA